AACGAAGACCACAACGAAGAUCACGACGAGAAGCCGACGGAGAAGUUGGUGUGCGUCCAAUUUCGCACGUUAUGACUUUAACAGCGAUUCGCCGAAUGCGCGAGAUGCUUCGCGGAGAAUCACCAGAAAGUAUGGGCGAUAGAUGACGAGAUCCACGAAAGCUGGCUCAUGUCUUUUCUCAAGAAGAUUACUGCGAAGUACUACUUUUAAAUCACUUCAGAAAAGUCGUCAUCCUGGCACCAUCAUCCAGCACAUUAGCAUUGUAUAUCUUGUCGGAAGAAAUCUAUCCGCUUUGUUUUAUAUAAACAAACUACUUGCUUAAAUCUUAUUCAUGGUUUAUUUUAAAAAGUCAGCGUGCUUAAUUAUGAAAAAUAUCAUGUCAAUAUUCCAAUGAAAUGAAUCAGUACUUCAAUAAAAUAGGAACAGCUUUUUUAAUAGAAAGAGAAAAUCGGCUAUUAUCUGAACUUUUUCGAUUAUAUUGUAAUUGUUUGAUGACUUAAUAGUACGUAACUUAAUAGCACAACUUAUUUAAUUAAUUGAUUAAUAUAAAAUAGUAAAAGAGAUAAAACACUCUUAAAAAAUUUAUACAAAAUUUUGAACUUGAAAUUUUAUCGCUCAUGUAAUUUCACAAUACGUUCGUGUCAUAACAAGAAAAUUCUAAGAAAAUACACGUGCUUUUCAGCAUGUGCAAACGAGAAUAGAAUUCUGAACGUUGAUCUAUAACGUUGAUUAUCAGUUCAAGAAAUUGGAAUUCUCGUCGGCAUAAACCGAAAGAGAUAACAGUCCUUAAUUUCGCGAGAAAAUAAUUCCGUAACUUUUCAUCGAAAAUAUAUUUUGCCAGUUAAACAAAAAUGUAUUCACAAUAUUCAUAUUAAUUCCUACAUUUUAUUUUAAUGUAUUUACAAAUAUAAUAUUUUAAAUUUUUAACUUCAAUAAAUUCUUAUGUCUACUAAAAUGAUGUCAAAAUCUAUACUUAAUAAAUUAACUAUUAAAUCCUUUUAAAAAUAUAUUUUUAAAAGUUUUGGUAAAUUUUAACACGUUUUACUAUCGUAAAAUCCGUUCGAGACAUUAAAUUUUCUUAAACCUUCUUUAUCAACAAUAUUAAUAAUCGAUACCAUGGCAAAAGGAUAAUAGCACUAUUUACUUCAAAACAACCAAAAAAAUGUUCCCGUAGCAUGAAACUUGUUCAUUCAAUAUAUAAUUACCUGUAAAAUUUAUUUCUAACGCGGAACGCAUUAUUCAUUGACGUUGCAUUCUUCUCUUUAUCCCGUCUCUUCAUCUCUUCGCCUCAUCCAGUAUUAGACUCAACGCCGUGCGGUAUAUUUUUGACUUGUGGUGGUCUAAAGCUAUUUCAAGACGAAGCCGAAUCAACCUUCUGCACCAAUACGAUUCUUCGCUCCCACUUUCUCCGUUGGCCUCUUUGUGGUCUCCGGCGAACUCCCUUUUCUUGUCCCUGGAAAUGCUUUUUCUCCCAAUGACAAUGUCGACUCAUCCAGCCGUAUGAAAAAGCCUAUAUAUAUAUAUAUAUACUCUAAAAUGUUAUAAAAAAAAGAUCGCAUAUGUACAGAUCAUUUAACUGAUACAUGAGCAGCCGAGUAAAUUUUUGGAAAGUUACUGAAAGAAUAAUUAAAGAGAAAUAUAGUCAUUUGUUGUUCAAUAUAAUUAAACUGACGCAACUAAAUAAAAUUAUUAAUUUAUGAUAGUUCCUAGCUCAUAUAACAACAAAUUGUCAGCAAAAUUUAUUCAACGCAAUUCGCGGCAAAACUUUUCAAUGUACAUUGCGAUUCUCCUUUGCUGUAUUAAAAGACAAGUUUAACUAAGUUUGCAGUUGAGUUUACAAUUUCCAUUACACUCAAUAAUCAAAUCAGAUUUAUGCAAACUGCGUUGCAGAAUUUCCAUACGUUCUCUCUAGUAAUAAAAUCUUUAAUAUUUAUUAAUAAACUCUUAAAAAUACCUGUAAUUAAUUUUUUCUUUGUUUUCUAAAUAAUCUAUUCAAAAUUAUUUGUAGAUAUUAUAUGAUUUCGUAUUCUAAACCCAUAUUUAAAGAGUGUGUACAAAAUGGCUUCGUUCAAGAUGAACAAUAAUCCCUUACGGGUCAGCAGGAUAGUCUAUAUGAUGAUUACAUACACAAUCCAAUUGUGGUGUGCCACGUUCGAAAUUAGGUAGGUCCUAAUUGCAAAUGCCAUCCGUUGCGGAUGGUCGCUUUGGGAAUGAGCGAGUGAAUGAAACAGAGAAAGACAGAGAGAGAAUUGCUUAUUUCCUCGUUAAUUUACCAGAUCCGUGAAUCUGCGGCAGGUAUACUCGAUUCUCUAUUAAUUGUAAGAUACGUUAUUAUCAAUCGUAUUCAAUUAAAACGAUCAACGAACGAAAGUUGCAAACCAAUGUUCGUACGCGUUAAAACGACGCCGUGAAUUUUUCGUUUACUGAUUUCUUUCGUACAAAAAAAUAAAAAUCAAUUUUUAAUUAAAGCUUGGUAUAAUGAAUUACAAGCGCCGCGUCGCCGCAAAAAGUCGAUAAACCAAAUUAAAUUUAUCGCUGGCUUCCCGUUUGCCUUAAUUAUUAUCCGCGCGAUAGGCGUAUUUAUUUUUACGUUGGAAAAGCGACACCGCCAUAUUUCAACGAUAUCGAAGGUAUUGCUGUGUCAGAAAUCUCAUUUGUCAUUCCCGGCGCUUCGUGUCGAAUAACUCUCGCAAAAUAGCAGGUCUGUCAAUCACAAGACGCGUCUCGCUUAUAUCUGUACAAGAUACUGUGUAUCUUCUCCAAAGCGAGAUCUCGUUAUAAUCACGCUAAAACGCGAAGUAAAAUGUUCGAUCUAUCGUCCGCGAAAUGUGGUGACUCUGUGAAAAUCGCGAGUCAUGAGGUUUCUAAAAUCUUCAAAAUUUACAAAAUGAUUUAUAACAAUUUUUUAAUCUAUACUUAUAAAUUUAUACUUAAAUAAAUUAUUUUAAUUUUUUAAAAAUGCAUGAAUUAUAAAUCUCUCCUCCCAAGUUUUACCAUUUUUCUUGCUUACAUAAUAACAAAAUAAUAAUAAUAGAACUUUAAUUAUCAUUUACUCAUUGGAGUUUUCUUGAUGUGAAUUUUAAGAUAAAUAAUGUAGAUUUUCAUGAUAGAUUAUAUAGUCAGUUUAACAAUACAUCUAAAUUUAUUAUACAAUAUCUAAUGCUUCAACCUGGCGUACAUUUAAUAGAGGUUGAACCUUUCAAUUGUAAGGUAAACGGAUAUACCUGAUAUCACAUAGAAUGCGGUUCCAUGAGAGCUAUUGAUAACGUUGACACACAGAGAAGCACUAUCAUGCAUUAGAAACAUAAGUGGUGCGUCAUGUUGAUGUGAGCUGCGUAAAACGGUUUUAAGUGCACGUACGCAAAGGCCAAUAUACAAAGAUAGGAAUUAAUGCAUAAAUAAACGUAAAGCCAUACAUACUCGUCCGGAUUAGUUGAUGGUUGUUUAUUUCAUUUGAUCCUUUGUCGUAAUCUCGUAAUGCAUGCUGCACAAUUACUAAGGUAAAAGAAUAGCAAUAAAACCUUUUACUAUUUCAAAUAAAAACUAAUAAAUUUAAAAUGUUUGAAAAGUUUAAAAUGUCAUGUUUUAAAACCAUAGUUUUAAAAUAUAUAUUAAAGAAAUACUUCUUUUCUUUAGUUUUAAACAGUAAUUAAGAGAUGCAAGAAAAUUGUGUCAUGUUAGAAUAUGUAUUUAUUUUUUUAGAUUAAUGUUUCAAUUAUUCUACAUAAAUAUACAUAUAUAGAUUCCAAGCAUAUUAAAUAAAAUAAAUCAAUAAUAAAGUAAUCAAUAUUGUUUCUUAACAAUGUUGUAAAGAUUUUAAAAGUCAUCGGCAUAUAUAUAUAUUUUUUUUUUCGUAUACAUAGACAAGAAAUAAUAUAUAUCUUAAUAUAUAAUCUCAUAAUAUUUUGAUUUUGUAUGUAAAAAACAAAUAUGAAAUAUAUUUAAAUAAAUUUUUAAAAAAUUUCGAAAUUAAAACCAUGAGGCUAAAAAAUAUAUCUUAUUUGGAUAAAAGGAUUUUAACAGGCAGAAUAAUAUCCAACUCAUGUAUUUUGCUCGUUUUAUUAUUUCCAAAUCUUGCUUAGAACCUGAAGAAAUUUUUUCACAAUCUAAUAAUUAAUUAAUGAUAAUUAAGUUUAACAUUAACGCCUGACAACGACGAAGUAAAGAUUAUAGAUAUAUAUAUUUAUAUAUAUAAGCUAAUCCUUGCCCAGACACACGAAUUGAUAUGCAAUGUUUAAUAUGUUAUCGUUUUCUUUCUUGUUUCAUUCGUCCUAUUUCACUUUUUUCUUUACGGGCAUAUAAAUAAAUUCUUAUUGCUUAAUAUUUUCUUGUUAAUAUAUAUAAUAUAUAUAGUAUUAUUACAUAUAUGAUGAUAUGUUUUUGUAGUCCCAAUGAUUAAUAUGCACGCAUUUGUGCAAAUGUCUCCGGCAUGAGACAUAUUAUGGACGGAUUGAUCCAGAUUACGUUAUGGACGUUCCGAAUUGUCAAAUAAUCGCUACUUUAAUAAUUUCCGGUGGCAGAUAAUUAGUUGUCAUUGUUUCUCGAUAUAAUCUUUAUUACAUUCCUAUCAACUUUCGGAAUGUCCGUCACGCAUCCGGCAGUAUUUGACGAGGCCUCAGAUUGUCGUUUAAAACCUCGUCCGUAAUAUAAUAAAACAAGAGAAAUAUUUAUAUAAAUGUACAUGUAAUACUAAAGAUAAAUAGAAGAAAAAAUGAAGAAGGAAAAGAAACAGGAGAUAGUCGCGAUCGUCCACGGCUUCGAUUUUGUACCUCGCCGUAGAUCGAUUUUCGGAGAGGGAUAUCCACUCAAGCCCCGUCGACAUACUGAUUAUUAGUAUUAUUACUAUCAUAUUAUUACUAUUAUUAUUAUUCGCUCACUAAAUAUCAUAUUCUUAUCUCUGAACAUAGUUCAAUGUCGCUACGGUAAAGUUAUUAUUCUUUAAAUAUCACAAUAACCUUACACAGAAAGCUGCAACUAAUUUUAUCAUUAUUAUUAUUACUAUUCAUCAUUAUCCAUUAUUAUUACUAUCAGUAUCGGUACUGUUGUUAUUAUCUACGAAUUUACGCGCGAACUUUAUCUCGUAAAUAUGUCAGAUGUAUUGUAUCCCCCUCUUUUUGUAACGAAUACGAAAGUAUUACCAUUGUUAUUAUUAUUACUUCAUGUAAUGUUGCUGUUAUUAUUAUGCACGUACAAUUUUUAGGGUAAUCGUCGUCGUGCCAAGCGACGCACGCUUGCGUAAAUUCGAUUUUGCUGCCUGUGUACUGGGUCACUUUCGAUGGUUAUCGUGUGUGAUUGCUCUCGUAUGUGUAAUUGAUGAACAAAAAUUGUACGUUGCCAAUAUAGUGUACGCAAGUUCCCAUCCAAUAAUUACUGAACAAUGUCGACACAGAAUUGCUAAUUACCUACAUGACUGCCGGCUUGUACUCUAAUGCAUGUACAUGUAAUUCGUGAUAUAUAGUGAACCCCAAAUUUAUUGAAUAACAUGGAAAAAAUGCCUAUAUUAAAUAACGCAAAAAAACUUAUUCUAAAUGAUUAAUACAUUGUCCACCAUUGUGAAACAUAUGACAAGCAAUUUAAAUAGUUGUCAUACACCUGGAUAAUCUUAAUACCUGAUAAUUAAGAUUAUUAAUUAUCUUAAUAAUUAAGAUUAUUAAAAUAUUAUAAUCAAAUUUCAAAAGAGAUUACAAUUCUCUGCAAAAAUGUACAUAUACGUUUCGAUAUGGAAAACUAAUAUUGCAUAACCACUUAUGUUCUUAGAAGAGUAUAUGUCGUAAUAAAUAUUAAUUCUCAAAAAAUGUUUAUGUAAAAUUCAAAUACUUUGUAAUAAUCUGUUUCUUUGUACUGACUGACUUACACACAUAUAACAUAGAGACUGCAAUAAUGCAAAAAUUUUACAAUUUACAAAAUUAUUUAUCCAUUUUUUCAGCAAAAGAUUGGUAUGAUUAAAUAAUAGAAUAAUUUUAUUAUAAAAUAAAAUUAUUCUAUCAUUCAAUCAUAUCAAUCUUACGCGUUUGUCGAAAAAAAUGGAUAAAUAAUUUUGUAAAUUGUAAAAUUUUUAGUAUGUAAUCCAUAAAAUCAUAAGAAGAGUUCACUAUUAUUAUCACCAAUCAUAAAUACGUAGAUUCGAAUUUUCAACACUUUGCGGAUUGACCGUGCUGUUCUGUAGCAUGCGCAGGGGACGGACUAGUUUCUGCAGCUGUAUGCACGUGAUACGCACAUCAGAGAUUAAAUAUAAAAUUAUAAUCUCGAAAGUAGCGAUUAUAUCUAUAAGCGAACAUGUAAUCAGUCGCAAAAAUAACAUCUGUAUUUGUCGCACCGUAUUCUUCCAAAGCGGACCAAGUGUAGGACGUCGAUUCACACACUUCUGUCCGCAAAGUGUUAAAUUCAGUCAAUCUGACGCAUAAGUGUGCCGAAAAUUCACGUGUAUCCUCAACACUCUGCUACUCUUCCUCUUGUAAUGAUAAUCGUUAUUCUAAGGACAAUAUUCGCAACAACAAUUUUCACGACAAUGUUCACAAAUGAAUCCUCUGUAUGUAAAUAUAUCGCAGAUGAAUCCUUGUUUGCGUAGAGGAAUCUGUUAUGACCAUCAUACAUAUCUAACAGAGAAAAAUCACACCGUUCCGCGUUCGAGGGUAAUUCAAAGUGAUCGUAGAAUUCUUAUGAACCGAUGCCGAUUACGAGAGCGGAAGCGAUUAUUAUAGUAAUUUAUUAAUCGAUUACGCUCCCGAACUAAAGAUCCGCGGUAGAUGCGGGCGCGUUUCUGACGAUCAUUCGUCUGUGCGGCUAACGAGUGUACGAUAACCAAGUGUAAAGAACAAGUAACGGCUAAUGCAGAGCCCAGUAUAGAGCUCUGAUGCCAAAAAGAUCGUCAAAGAAACGUGCCGUCAAUCUCCGCACAAUCAGAUAAAAUUUCUCUCGUGUAUAGAAAUCGACUCGCGAAUUUCUUUUUAUGUACACAUCACUGUAACUCGCAAGUUUCGUUUUCCUGAAUUGAAUCGCGAUUCAAUUUCAUUGGUUUGCUCUAAAUUGUCGUUUCUAUAUGCAUCGUAAAAUCCAGAAAUUUUACAAUAAGAAUUUUUCAUAUAAGAAUGUAAAACAAAUUUUUAAAAAAAUCUAAAAGAAAUUUUCUUUUUUCCUUUCUAACAUUCUCCCAAAAUUUAACAACUUUUAAUAGUUCCAUUAGAGAGAGAAAGAUCUAUAUUCUAACUAAACAUAUUUAUUCUUAAGAAUGUAAAGCAUCGAAAGAUUUAAAAAAAAGUACAUUUUAAAUACGAACAAUUAAGGCAAAGAGUUUCCACGAUGCAUUGGAGCCAACUCUAAUAAAUUUCUACGAUACAGAUCAAUAGACUAUUACAUAUUUAAAUGCACAUAUUACAUGUACAUAUAUACACGCAUACGAGAUUCAUGUAAUAGGGAAUAUUCCCAUUUUCCUCGAACGCUCCUAUUCCAUCGACGUUAUGCAUAACUUUCAACAUAUCUCUCUCUCUCUCUCUCUCUCUCUCUUACAAUGUCUCCCGCCUAUCUUCCACCCAGACACCGGGCGCAAACCGAAACCGCGCGUUCACGCAUGCAAUACGCGCGUAAUGUGAAUCUAGAAACAACACGCAAAUAAAUACACGGACAACGUAGCUACACAAAGAGACACGUCCUUACAUACAUACAGACGGAUACAAAUAUAAGACACGGGUGUAUCUAUCGAUUAAUAAACGCCACAGAACGCUCGCGGUUGUCUACGAACGACGAAUGUGGUCCAAUGCGUGCCCUUAAUUAUAGCGAUUAACUCGGCGAAACGCGCUCGAUCAUUUACCAUGCCAGACAUAUUUAUCUAACUUGCCUGAAAGAGAAUUACGAGGACAUCUUUUAAGCUAACGUUAUUGAAACCUAGCCCUCUCGUAUUACAAGAUCAUUCAUUUAUUGCGUUCGAUUUAUAUAAGUCUAUUUUCCUAUACAAAACUAAUUUAAACUACCUAAUAUUACUAAAUAUAUAAUUUGCAAUGUAGGAAAGUUAAAUGUACUACAGAUAUUUCUGAGUUGUAAAUUGCAGAACUUAAAGAUCUUCUUUUCACAUUAAUAAAUACUAACAUAUUGUAUUAUAUCCACUGCUGAAAACAUAAUUCUUUUAGACUAGAUCGAUUUGUAUUAUCUUUUUCUCAUCUUUUACUCAUAGAUACAAUUAUUUGAAACACCCUGAGAUAGAUAAUAACAUAAAUAAUAAUAAAACAAGAUAGAUACGCUUAACUUUGUUAUAAUAAAGACGGGCCCAGCAUAUAUUAUGAAUGAUCGAUCGAUUUCGCUGUUUCUGAUAUGUUAAGAAUGUAAGGGCGUGUUUUUUAUCACUUUCAAAAUAUCAUAUGUCACUGUACAGUGUAUAAGUAUCAAAAGCAGUUACGUGUUUUCUCUUGGGAAUUCUCAUUGCAAAUUGAGCGAUGCCGAACGAUCCUAGUAUCUCGAGUUACUUUUCGAUCUCGUGACACGUGUGAUUGUCAUAGUCUGUCUGGUUUUUUUUUUGUUUUUUUUACUGAGAAACGCAUGUCGUAGCAUUGACUACACAAAUUCGCUUUUGACAUAUUCGCGAAACAGUGAUAUCACGAAAUCUUUUACAAAUUAAACACCUCGGUAUUCGCAACGCAUGUAGCAAUUGAUUAUAUUUCCUCGAUUGCGUGGAAUGUCGAAACAAAAUCGGUCAUUGUCAGAUGUAUCGUUCGAAUUUUGUUACUUUGUUCGAAUGCAAGUAUACUCGAUACUCCAAUUUACAUUGACCCUGUCAAAGAAUUUCUAGUUACAUGACGUUAACUUUACACAUCCACAACAUGUUUCUUAAGCGCUCUGCAAAAACGCAAAUUUCAAUCACGCGUGGCCAAUGUAUACUGGACGCGACGCAAUGUAUGCGCACUGUCCACCUGAGCGUAAACUCGGAUCCAUGAAACAGAAUUCUAAAUCUACAGAUCCAUAAAUCCAUACGUACGAAAAAUUCACGCAAUUGAACAUUCACGAAUCAAUAAUCUGUGAAGUGAAAAAAGUUCCCCGACUUACGGAUCCAUAAAGCAAGAAUAUUAAAAAUUCGUGUCUUCAAAGAUCCGGAUAUACUGAUAUUCACAAUUUCAUACUAAUCCACGGGCACAUGUAUAAAUCGGCAAACUCACGUAUUCAGAAAGCGGAAUCGGCGAGGUCUAUAACAGCAUGAGACUUCCACGGAACACACUAUGAACACGCUAGAAUAAGCUUAUAAUCCUAAGAAUUCUCGCAUGUCUCGUAUAAACUGCUUCAUCCGUCUCAAUUUACAGGAUCGUCAAGAAUAUUAUCAUUAAUUUUCGUUGACAGAUGGAUAAAUUAAUUUAUUAAUUCAUAAGAAUUCAUCGAGAAUAAUUCUUCACAUUUACUUGGUCUUACGACGCUUAAUGGGUAUUACUUAUCACAUUAUUCCUCAAAGAUCAUGGUAAAAGUGAAGAACUCUUUCCACAUAUAUAUUUCGCGUUUAUAUAAUUAUUUUGUAAAGGAUAUCCGGUUUUGCAACCAGAAAUUGUGAACGUUUGGUAUAAACUACCACAGUUCGUCGUGUAGACAUCCGAUCAUACAAGUCUACAAAUACU